rnacentral:rRNA from 1 species
UACGGAGGAUCCGAGCGUUAUCCGGAAUUAUUGGGUUUAAAGGGUGCGUAGGCGGGCAUUUAAGUCAGGGGUGAAAUACAGCGGCUCAACCGUUGCAGUGCCCUUGAUACUGAGUGCCUUGAAUGUGGUCGAAGGAGGCGGAACGGGACAAGUAGCGGUGAAAUGCAUAGAUAUGUCCCAGAACCCCGAUUGCGAAGGCAGCUUCCUAGGCCGUUAUUGACGCUGAUGCACGAAAGCGUGGGUAUCGAACAGG